CACCACCCUCUUCUGUGUUUGGGGUACAACACUAGAGACUGGACCAAUGAAGUCAGAUGGGUGAUCUUCUCUAGUGUUUCCAGAAUUACCCUUUCUACAGCUGCAAAACAGAAAUGAUGCAUUUUGCAGCUUAUUUAAACCGAUAAAUAACAUGUGUGUACAUAGAUUUGGUAUGGAACUCAAGACUGGAUUUUCCUCUCACACCAGAAGUACCUGUGGAUGAGCCUCCAGCCGUCUCCGUGAUGGUCUGCCUGAGAGACUAGAGCUGAGAAAGAUGGAGAGGCAGAGAGUGCUGCUCGAUGAGAGAGAGAGAGGAGAGACGGAUGAGGAGGGAGAAGAGAGAAGGACAAUAACGAGAGAAAGGAGUUUGGGUGGACGGGGAGAGAGGAGGGGUAUUUUUUUAUUAUUAUGGUUGAUUUGGUUCAUCGAAGGUCAGCAGCAAAGACACUGGUUAAUAAAAUGGUAUUAAAUACAGAGUAUAUUUGUGUUAUUUAACAUUUAAUUAUUGCAGGUUUGUAUAAUGAGUUUGCGUUUCACUGUUUUUAAUGUAGAGGACUACUGUGUUUGUGUGCAGCGAGAUGAGUAAACACAUGUUCAUAUUUAGUCUAGAACUACAGUUACAGUAAGAUCAUGUUCAAACACAACGCUCUGCACUUACUCCUGAUUUCUGUCACCAUGGCAAC
rnacentral:lncRNA from 1 species